GCUCUUCCUGAUGGACGUCAGCUCCUAUCUCUCCUGGGGAGUGGAGGCUGCUCUGGAGUGGGGCCAAGAUCGGGAGGCCCAGGAGAGAAAAGGGCCUGCAAUCUACCUCCCAGUCAACAAGAUGCUAUAAUAAAAACAUAGCCAACUGUCACUCAGCGUUUAUUACGGUGCCAGAUGAGGAAACAGGUGCAGAACCGUGGAGUAACCUGCGCAGGGUCUCCAGUAGAAAAACAGGCCCUUGGUCAGAUGAAUUUACCCACUUCGGCCACCAGGGGCGCUGUUGGCACAGCUUGAACUCGAGACCAGCGCUGUCCAACGGAAACCGAACGUGAGGAACGUGAGCUUGGGGAGGCAGAGGACAAAGCCUGGCCUGCAAGACACUGAGCUUCACCUCUUCCAGGAGGACGACAUCAUCACCAUUUCUCAGAUGAGGAAACUGAGGCUCAGAGAGAUGCAGUGACCCACCAAGGCUGAGUGCAGGAAUGUUGGCCCUCAGCAUCCACCCUGGGCCCUGCAUUGCCCUGGUUGUCUAUGUGGCCCCAGCCCUCCUGGGCCAUUUUGAUCUGUUUUGUGCAUUUGGGGCACGUGUAUGAGAGCAUGUUUGGAGAACUAUGCUUUAUAGCAAGAAGCUCCAGCCAGGGGGACUGAGGGAAGGCUUCCCAGAGGCGGUGACCCUGACAUUGGGUUCCCAGGAGUGAAGAACAUUUUGACAAUCAGCAAGGAGAGCGUUCCAGACGAGGAAGCUGCAUGUUGAGGGAUCAAGAGGUCUGCUGUGUGACCUUCUUCAAGUUCCUGACCCUCUCUGGGCUGCAGUCACCUUAUUCAGAAAAUGGAGAGGCUAGACAAGAAAAUGAUGCUAAUCUCACCCUUUUCUGGGCUGGCAUUUUAUUGAGCACCUACUAGGCGCUGGGCAUUUUGCUAGGCCCUUCGUGCACACUGCCAUGAGAAAUCCACAGCAACCCCAGAGAUGGGUUCAUCAAUAACUCACCAGCAAAUACUUCCUGAGGCCCCACUGUGUGCCGAGCAUGGGCAUAGGUACUGGGCACACCUCGAUGAACAAGGGAGGUAAGGAUGUGACUCUCCUAGAACUUUCUGUCGAGAAGAGGAGAUGGAGAAUAAACAUGGAAACAAGCAAGAUCAUUCUGGAGAAAAUGCAAUCAGAUGAUGUGCUAGAUGGUAACAGAGAGAGGUCGAAUGAGAGAGAGGGCCGUGACAGCCUCUCUGAGAAGCUGAAAUCCAAGCAGAACCUGAAAGACGAGGAGAAACUCAGAUACAUAAAGACUGGGAAAAGCAUUCAAGUAGAGGGAACAGUGCGUGCAAAGGCCCUGAGGUGGGUGCAGUAGAUACCACAGGCCCCCUCACUCGAGACCACUCCAAGCACCUCCUGCCCUCUUGUGCCACAGAGCUCAGAAAGCUAAAGCAAUGUUCCCCAGAGGUCCUGUGGCCAAGGUCCUGCAUGGGCCUGGGUGACCCCUGCAGAAGCUUCUGAGCAAGACUGAGCAGGGAAAGAAAGGCCAUGUCAGAAAACCAUCCUCCAGCGAGCAUGGAGGCAGAGAGUCUCAUCCUGGCAUCCCAGGUGCUGAGCAGAGCAGACAGCAGCAGAGGGGCUCCCUAGAGCAGCUGGGGGCCCUGCCUGUGCCGUCGCUCUUUCCCCUCCCUGCCCUCUGGUCUGACAUCCCAUUGGCAUCACACACGAUGCCUCCCGGAGGUGCUCUUGUGCACACAGCAGGUCAAAGUGCCAGAGAAUUAGAUCCUGUCCUCUUGGGAACAGCCCUCAGCCAGCAGUGAGCCCUUAGGAGGAUGCUCCAAGCUCUAUCCUCCCCGGGUCCAGAGGCCCUGGGAUGGAGCGCCAUUGUGGAAGCAGUGACAACUUGAUGAAGCUCCCUGGGCUGGCCCCUUCCUCUCUGCCUUGUUCCCCGUUCCCUGCAGUCCUGCAAUCACCUCCCAAAUAAACCAUGUGCCCUUGCUGGAA
ensembl:lncRNA LINC00523 long intergenic non-protein coding RNA 523